UACAGAGGGGGCGAGCGUUGUUCGGAAUUACUGGGCGUAAAAGGGCGCGUAGGCGGCUUUGCAAGUCGGGUGUGAAAUCCCCAGGCUCAACCUGGGAACUGCAUUCGAGACUGCAUUGCUAGAGUAUGGGAGAGGGAAGUGGAAUUUCCGGUGUAGCGGUGAAAUGCGUAGAUAUCGGAAGGAACAUCAGUGGCGAAAGCGACUUCCUGGACCAAUACUGACGCUGAGGCGCGAAAGCUAGGGGAGCAAACGGG
rnacentral:rRNA from 1 species